rnacentral:lncRNA from 1 species
GCAGAAGUCCAUGCCGCCUUCUCUGAUGAAGCCCCAGCUCCUCCCGGUUCCCUGCCCUGCUCUGCUGGUGGUCUGCCCUGGCCCUCUCCACCCAGGCUCGCUCUGCUAGCAGCUGCUGGCUGUGUCUGCACCCUUCACAAGGCCAGGACAGCCAGUACCUUGGCUGUGACAGUCUUGCUGCCUGUUCCUCCUCUCUCUACCAUGACCUUCAGGCACAGGCGAGGGGGAAGGCAGACAUGGCCAUCUCUCCUGCCCACAGUCCUGUGGAUUCUAUACCAAAUCCUUGAGCCCUGAACCUCCAGGACUGGAACCCUGCUGUUUCCUGCUUCUGUGGGCAUCUGUUCCUUGGGUUCACAGUUCCUCUUCUAUCUCCCUGGGGCCCUCACUCCCUUGAGUCUCAGAUCAGUUAAUGACUCAUUCUGAUACCCAGCUAGGCUGGUGUCCAGGGUCCAGCCUGCUUCUGGGCACCUCACUCCUGCCCCUGCUGAGACACUUGGUACCUUGUGCCCUGGUUGGGCCUACAUGGGUGAGUACUUCAGGCUGUGGAACCUGCAGGGGUGUCAGUGUCUUCAGGAAGGGGCCUGAGCUUAGAUGUUGCUGGAACCUCUGGG